GCUCAAAGCAAGCCAUCGCUCUGGUUACAUUAGCAUGGGAUAACAUCAUAGGAUUCCGGUCCUAUUGUGUUGGCCUUCGGGAUCGGAGUAAUGAUUAAUAGGGACAGUCGGGGGCAUUCGUAUUUCAUAGUCAGAGGUGAAAUUCUUGGAUUUAUGAAAGAGGAACAACUGGGAAAGCAUUUGCCAGGAAUGUUUUCAUUAAUCAAGAACGAAAGUGGGGGCUCGAAGACGAUCAGAUACCGUCCUAGUCUCAACCAUAAACGAUGCCGACCAGGG
rnacentral:ncRNA from 1 species